rnacentral:rRNA from 1 species
GACGAACGCUGGCGGCGUGCUUAACACAUGCAAGUCGAACGGAAAGGCCCUGCUUUUGUGGGGUGCUCGAGUGGCGAACGGGUGAGUAACACGUGAGUAACCUGCCCUUGACUUUGGGAUAACUUCAGGAAACUGGGGCUAAUACCGGAUAGGAGCUCCUGCUGCAUGGUGGGGGUUGGAAAGUUUCGGCGGUUGGGGAUGGACUCGCGGCUUAUCAGCUUGUUGGUGGGGUAGUGGCUUACCAAGGCUUUGACGGGUAGCCGGCCUGAGAGGGUGACCGGCCACAUUGGGCCUGGGAUACGGCCCGGACGCCUACGGGAGGCAGCAGUGGGGAAUAUGGCACAAUGGGCGGAGGCCUGAUGCAGCAACGCCGCGUGCGGGAUGACGGCCUUCGGGUAGUAAACAGCUUUCGCCUGUGACGAAGCGUGAGUGACGGUAAUGGGUAAAGAAGCACCGGCUAACUACGU